rnacentral:misc_RNA from 1 species
GAUGAAGAACGCAGCGAAAUGCGAUACUUGGUGUGAAUUGCAGAAUCCCGUGAACCAUCGAGUCUUUGAACGCAAGUUGCGCCCGAAGCCAUUGGGCCGAGGGCACGCCUGCCUGGGCGUCACACGUCGUUGCCCCCCCAUCUACUCCUUCGGGAUUGCGGGGGGCGGAUGAUGGCCUCCCGUGCGCCUCGUCGCGCGGUUGGCAUAAAUGCCAAGUCCUCGGCGACGCACGCCACGACAAUCGGUGGUUGCGAAACCUCGGUUGCCCGUCGUGUGCGGUCGUCGCGCAUCGAGGGCUCGAAAAAAUUGCCGGGCUCCGGCUCGGCUUUCAACGCGACCCCAGGUCAGGCGGGGUUACCCGCUGAAUUUAAGCAUAUCAAUAAGCGGAGGA